rnacentral:rRNA from 1 species
AGGACGAACGCUGGCGGCGCGCUUAACACAUGCAAGUCGAGCGAGAACCAUGGCUUCGGCCAUGGGGACAGCGGCGAACGGGUGAGUAACACGUGGGUAAUCUGCCCUCGACACUGGGAUAGCCCGGGGAAACCCGGAUUAAUACCGGAUAGCCUCUCGAGUUCUCGGGCUCGUGAGAAAAGAUGGCUUCGGCUUUCGGUUGAGGAGGAGCCUGCGGCGGAUUAGCUUGUUGGUGAGGUAACGGCCCACCAAGGCGACGAUCCGUAGCUGGUCUGAGAGGACGAUCAGCCACACUGGGACUGAGACACGGCCCAGACUCCUACGGGAGGCAGCAGUGGGGAAUCUUGCGCAAUGGGCGAAAGCCUGACGCAGCGACGCCGCGUGAGGGAAGAAGGCCUGGUGUAAACUCUUCUAGGAGGACGAAGCUACUCGGUUAAUAGCCAGAGGUGACGGUACCGUCCAGAAGAAGCCCCGGCCUAACUACGUCGCCAGCAGCCG